rnacentral:rRNA from 1 species
GACAGAGGGUGCAAACGUUGUUCGGAAUUACUGGGCGUAAAGCGUGUGUAGGCGGCCACGUAAGUCGGAUGUGAAAGCCCCGGGCUCAACCCGGGAAGUGCACUCGAUACUGCGUGGCUUGAGUACUGGAGAGGUUGGUGGAAUUCUCGGUGUGAGAGGGUGAAAUUCGUAGAUAUCGAGAGGAACACCGGUGGCGAAGGCGGCCAACUGGACAGAUACUGACGCUGAGACACGGAAGCGUGGGGAGCGAACAGG